UUGGAGGGCAAGUCUGGUGCCAGCAGCCGCGGUAAUUCCAGCUCCAAUAGCGUAUAUUAAAGUUGUUGCAGUUAAAAAGCUCGUAGUUGAAUUUCGGGGUUAGUAGGUUGGUCAUGCCACUGGUAUGUACUGGUCUCACUGAUUCCUCCUUCCUGAUGAGCCGUAAUGCCAUUAAUUUGGUGUUGCGAGGAAUCUGGACUGUUACUUUGAAAAAAUUAGAGUGUUUAAAGCAGGCUUACGCUUGAAUACAUUAGCAUGGAAUAAUGAAAUAGGACGUUUGAUUCUAUUUUGUUGGUUUCUAGGAUUGACGUAAUGAUUAAUAGGGAUAGUUGGGGGCAUUAGUAUUCAAUUGUCAGAGGUGAAAUUCUUGGAUUUAUUGAAGACUAACUACUGCGAAAGCAUUUGCCAAGGAUGUUUUCAUUAAUCAAGAACGAAAGUUAGGGGAUCGAAGACGAUCAGAUACCGUCGUAGUCUUAACCAUAAACUAUGCCGACUAGGGAUCGGAUGAUGUUAAUUUUUUAAUGACUCAUUCGGCGCCUUACGGGAAACCAAAGUGUUUGGGUUC
rnacentral:rRNA from 1 species